GUGAUUAUGGGUUAUUUAAAUAAAAUUCCUGUCCUUAGAAGAGCAAAACCAUAAAGAAAAAGUUUGGGGGUUUCCUGUUCACUUCAAUACAGUCAGAGUUUUCCCACAGCAGCCUCUAGUGGAGAUUAGAGGAACUACACCUGAACACACUUCAGCUCCGACUGCAACACCUGGCUGGUGGAUCAACACAAACAGGAAACAGGAGAGAGAGGCCAAACACUCUCAGACCGCAGUGAGUCGCCACGACGACCUCAGGAGCCGUACUCAUACCUGUGAACACACAACACCUGUCAAAACAGCACAUACACACAGCAUCCACCCCGAGUCGAUGCAGCAGUCUGGCCUCGGCGAUGCUUUCGAAGUUAGGCCCACCCACCAUGGCGUACACGCCCUCCUGUACCAGGCUGGCCACGCCCAGCUGCUUGGCGAUCUCCAUCGCUACGCAA